rnacentral:rRNA from 1 species
AACGAACGCUGGCGGCAGGCCUAACACAUGCAAGUCGAGCGAGAUCUUCGGGUCUAGCGGCGGACGGGUGAGUAACGCGUGGGAAUAUGCCUCUUGGUACGGAAUAGCAUCGGGAAACUGGGAGUAAUACCGUAUGUGCCCUUUGGGGGAAAGAUAUAUCGCAAAGAGAUGAGCCCGCGUUGGAUUAGGCAGUGGGUGGGGAAAUGGCCUACCAAGGAGACGAUCCAUAGCUGGGUUGAGAGGAUGGGCAGCCACACUGGGGCUGAGACACGGCCCAGACUCCUGCAGGAGGGAGCAGUGGGGAAUCUUAGACAAUGGGGGCAACCCUGAUCUAGCCAUGCUGCGUGAGUGAUGAAGGCCUUAGGGUAGUAAAGCAGGUUCAGCUGGGAAGAUAAUGACGGUACCAGCAGAAGAAGCCCCGGCUAACUCCGUG